ensembl:lncRNA
UUGUUGGUGAAUUUUUUUUAUUAGGUAACAUCAAAGUAAUGUUAGUUAACGUAAUGGUAACAUGUAAGAUAACAUUCAGGUGGCAUAAUAACUGUAAUAUUCAUCGUGACCUGGUUGAUUGGGAUGGAGAAUUGGGGGGGCGAGGGGUGACAUAGAGAGAGGUGGGGCUGGGAUCGGUGGGGGGGGGUUGCAUUUGGGGAGAGGUGGGGCUGGGUUAAUGGGGUGUUGACAUAGAGAGAGGUGGGGCUGGGUUCGGGGGGGGUUGACAUAGAGAGAGGUGGGGCUGGGUUCGGUGGGGGGGGGGUUGAAUUUGGGGAGAGGUGGGGCUGGGUUAACGGUGGGUUGACAUAGAGAGAGGUGGGGCUGGGUUCGGGGCCGGGUUCGGUGGUGGGGGGAUGGGGGUUUGCAUAUGGGUAGAGGUAGGGCUGGGUUAAGUGGGGGGUUGGAUAUGAAGAGAGGUGGGGCUGGGUUCGGGGGGAGGGGUUGACAUAGACAGAGGUGGGGCUGGGUUCGGGGGUGUUGACAUAGAGAGAGGUGGGGCUGGGUUUAGGGGGGAGGGGUUGACAUAGAGAGAGGUGGGGCUGGGCUCGGAGGGAGGGGUUGACAUAGACAGAGGUGGGGCUGGGUUCGGGGGGUGGGUUGGACAUAGAGAGAGGUGGGGCUGGGCUCGGAGGGAGGGGUUGACAUAGACAGAGGUGGGGCUGGGUUCGGGGGGUUCUGUCGUCUUCCUCUUCACACAUAUAAGCUUCUGUACUCUCUCCCACUG